GUGCCAGCCGCCGCGGUAACACGUAGGGCGCAAGCGUUGUCUGGAAUUAUUGGGCGUAAAGAGCUCGUAGGUGGUUUGUUACGUCUGCUGUGAAAACCUAGGGCUUAACCCUGGGCUUGCAGUGGAUACGGGCAGACUAGAGGUAGGUAGUGGAGAAUGGAAUUCCUGGUGUAGCGGUGAAAUGCGCAGAUAUCAGGAGGAACACCGGUGGCGAAGGCGGUUCUCUGGGCCUGUGCUGACGCUGAGGAGCGAAAGCGUGGGGAGCGAACAGGAUUAGAUACCCUCGUAGUCC
rnacentral:rRNA from 1 species